CUCAGCGUUCAGACGUUCCUUCCCUUUUCUCUGCCACGCCUUUCUGCUGUUCUUCUGCUCUUCUGUUCAUCUGCUCAUCUAGCCAGGGGCUUGGGAUUUAUGUGGGUACAGGAUAAGGGGGCGCAUAGCAGGCCAAAAGGCAACUUUUGGGCGUGAAAGCAGGCGUAACUGUUCUCAUUUAGGGCCGUGGGUUUCCAGGCUUGAGGGUGGGGCUUUUACUGGGGAACCGCCCUCUUCCGCCCAGUACUUCCGUCUGCUGUCCGUUUGAAAACAGAUUUAAACUCACGCUUUUAGGCUGCGGGUCAGGUCUUCCUGCUUCACUAGGAAGCCUCCCAGUAGAGGAUUGGGUUGUAGUAACGCUGGGGAUGAAGGACUGAAUAGAGGAUCAGAUGGAGAAGCUCAGGCACCCAGAGUUUCAGCAACUUUUCAAAAGCUCUUAAGCAGUACUAGCCAUAGUGCUUGAAAUUGCAGGCAGAUUUCCCAUGAAGAAAAUGAAAUCUUUAAGCUUCAGGGUCUCUUCUUUACACAAAUCCCUUCCAAGGCCUUGGGAGGGGCCCCAAGCAAUGUGUUUAAAUUUUCUUUAUGGCCAAUUGCUAGAGAAUAAGAUGGUUGUGGACGACUAAUACAGAGGAACUGCAAAUGGAAGAAGCCAUACGGGAGAGGAGGAGACGGAGCAUAAGUCAGGUAGAUACUUGCACUGUAGAUGUUACAAAGGAGCUUGCACUCUCUUGCCUUUCUGCCUUGCACCAUGGGAGGACACAGCAAGAAGCUCUCACCAGAUGCUAGACCCUCAACCUUGGACUUCUCAGCCUCCAGAACUAUGAGAAAUAAAUUUCUGUUUAUAGUAAAUUGCCCAGUCUCAAAUAUUAUGUGACAGCAGCACAAAACAGACUAAGAUGCUCCUUUAACAUAAACCACAGGGUUCCUAUGGAAAACAGGCAACAUGGAAUGUUUCAGGCAUUGUAAUCAUUGAAGGAAAGGAGAAACAAAAGGAGAGAUUGUGCUGAAGUGAAUAGAGCACAUACUGUGACGGGAAUCUCACAAUCUUACCAACUUUGAGAUCAGUUAAGGGUCUUGUCUGAAGAUCAGAUAAGGGUCUUGAGAUCAGGAAAGGGUCUUGUAAAGAGCUUCUCUGUGGUAUAUUUCAAAUCUGAAAUUUUGGAUUCAGGUGAAGUAGUUAAAGAUCUGAGUUCUAAUCCACUGUGUCACUUUGAUUAUGUAGUGUACAAUGCCUUAAAUGCAUAUUUUCUCAUUUAGUGUAACAGAAACACCAUUAAGAGAGAUGUCUUUGAUAAUCUCCAGUGUGGAGGCACAUAAUUGAAAGUUCCAAAAGGUUGAAUAACUUAUGAAUAGUGAACAACAAGUUAGAGUUUGAAUGCAUUUCUUUGGAAUUUAGAGCCUGUGUUUUUAUACUGUCACACUACCUCUUAUAUAUGCUUAUUCAUUGAAUAUAAGUUGUAUUAUUUUCCCCACUGAUAUCUAUUACAGGUUUGCAUAAAAAGAUUCUCUUUUAUAAUUAGGGGAGCUAAAUAAACUCUAUAAAUUUAACAAAUAUUUUCUGAAUGAUAAUAUGGUGGGCACUAUACACUGUAUUGGAGUACAACAGUAAACAUAAAAAUAUGUUACCCAAGUUUAUGGUUGAGAGGGAGACCCAUUAUUUUAAAGAAGUGUAAAAAUAUGUCCAAUUAAUGCUUCCCUAUCUUAUCAUUGUAAAUUAUCAGGAUUUAACUUUCACCAUGUGCCAAGCUAUUGUGCUGGAUGCUUUUAUACAUUAUUUCAUUUAAUCCCUAUCUAGGAAUCAAUUUUGUUUUUAUUUUACAAAAGAGGAAACAUGCCUAACUAAUAUAUGCUUGUAUCAAUUUAUUCUCCCUCCAGCAUUGAAUAAAAAUGACUUAUUUUAUUAUAUCUUCUUCAAUAUUCAUUAGUUUCCUUAGAAACUGCUAAUUUGAUAGAUUAAAAACUGUAUCUAACUGUUUUCAUUAGGAUUUUUAUCUUAAUUAGGUUGGAAACCUGUUGAUAUAUCAGCAAAUAUUUAUUAGGCAGCUAUUAUUUACCAAGUAAUACACAUGGCAUAGAGGAUAAAAGAAAAAAAAGUUGUUUUUUUUUUUUUAAUGAGAAAGUAAAAGAAAGUUUAUAAGCCUCACAGGUGAAGGUAAAUAGCCCCAUUUUAUUCAUGGCCUAGUAUUAUCUCUUUGGUCACAGGGGUACACUUGGAUAAUGUCCACAUGGAAAGGAAAAGACAUUCUGUAUCAAUGAUACUAUUGCUUCUUUUUAAAAAUAAAGAUUCUGUAUUGUAAAAUUGA